rnacentral:rRNA from 1 species
AAGAAAUUUAAUAAUUUUGAAAAUGGAUUUUUUUGUUUUGGCAAGAGCAUGAGAGCUUUUACUGGGCAAGAAGACAAGAGAUGGAGAGUCCAGCCGGGCCUGCGCUUAAGUGCGCGGUCUUGCUAGGCUUGUAAGUUUCUUUCUUGCUAUUCCAAACGGUGAGAGAUUUCUGUGCUUUUGUUAUAGGACAAUUAAAACCGUUUCAAUACAACACACUGUGGAGUUUUCAUAUCUUUGCAACUUUUUCUUUGGGCAUUCGAGCAAUCGGGGCCCAGAGGUAACAAACACAAACAAUUUUAUUUAUUCGUUAAAUUUUUGUCAAAAACAAGAAUUUUCGUAACUGGAAAUUUUAGAAUAUUAA